rnacentral:rRNA from 1 species
UGGGGAAUUUUGGACAAUGGGCGCAAGCCUGAUCCAGCAAUGCCGCGUGCAGGAUGAAGGCCUUCGGGUUGUAAACUGCUUUUGUACGGAACGAAAAAGCUCUCUCUAAUACAGGGGGUGAAUGACGGUACCGUAAGAAUAAGCACCGGCUAACUACGUGCCAGCAGCCGCGGUAAUACGUAGGGUGCAAGCGUUAAUCGGAAUUACUGGGCGUAAAGCGUGCGCAGGCGGUUUUGUAAGACAGAUGUGAAAUCCCCGGGCUCAACCUGGGAAUUGCCUUUGUGACUGCAAAGCUGGAGUGCGGCAGAGGGGGAUGGAAUUCCGCGUGUAGCAGUGAAAUGCGUAGAUAUGCGGAGGAACACCAAUAGCGAAGGCAAUCCCCUGGGCCUGCACUGACGCUCAUGCACGAAAGCGUGGGGAGCAAACA